CGUUGCUGUCCCAGCACCCUGCCACACUUCUGACUUACAGCAUUUGAAUGUUUUCCAAACUGGCAUCUCCAUAUUCCAGGCCAGCACCUGUGAGGGUGAGCCUAUAAAGACCUUCCUGACUGGAAAGCAGACUAGUGUGCACUCUCAAGGAGGGUUGUCAGUUUGACUACCAUAAAACUCCAAAAGAUGGGGCCGUUUCAGCCCGACCACUUGGGCUGCUUCCAGGAAAAAAGCACGCAUGUGUCUCUCUGGAGAGAAGUUGCACUACACAAAAUCAGCCUGUCGGAUGACCUGGAAAUCAGCCAUCUCUAUAUUAGAAAAAAACAAAGAAGACAUUCAGUUUAGUUCCACUACCCAUACAGCUAUGAAGGUUAACCAUCAUCUAGUACAUUAUGACUCGUCCAUUUCUGAUCACAGGUUCACAGAUAGCGUUAAACUUCAUAUUUCCUAAUGUGACAGACGGGGGCUAAGCAGGACACCCACACGCAUGCAGACUUGAGGGAGGAGGGGCCAUACCGGGACAGAGCCCCCCCUCAAGGGCAUGACUCCUGGCGCGUCAGCCUACCGGGCUGCGGCCCCGAGACCAACGCCAAAAGGUGACGUUGAAGGACCAGACAACCCGCCACGGGCCAGCGCAAACAGGGCAGCGGGGGAAAGACAGGGACCAAGACGAUGACAGACAGGGACGCACACACUAACAGGCACAAAGAGGAACAAAUCGACCGGUACAUUUAGUGUAAUCGGGACAGACACGAUGACAGGCACAGGCACAUGAAUGACCCCACACAAAUUCAAGAGCCCAGGGAAGGGGGGAGGAACUCCAGCCAGUCCCCCAGUCGUCGGCUGGGUCAAAGACUGACCAUCCUGGUGGGAAGUGUCCCUCGCCAGCCUAGGUAGCGGCCACUGUCCCAGUUCUGGUACUGGUGCCUCUGCCUUUUUGCCUGUACAAGGCUUCGGCGUAGGUGCAUACGCUCUAGAGCUCCUCGCCUCAAGCGGGGGAGUGUCCAUAUUUGACAACAGUGCCUCCCUGCUAGCCGCCUCUGUUCGCUAGCUCGCACCUGGGCGGCGUGUCCUGGGCGGUGCCUUGGGUGCUGGAGGCUCCUUGCUGUGUGAACUUUUGGUGUCGCCAUGGGAGAGAAGAUCCCUAUGAGGGUACUCUACCUCCAUAGAAGUUUCCUCCUCACAAUCGGAACAACUUUCCGACUGCAGACAGACGUCGCUGCACUCCUCUGUCUCUCCAUAAUCUGUGUCUCCCAUAUGAUCGUCCAGAUAGGGAUCGUAGGACCCAGCAGACUCCAUCUCCCAGUAGCGGUCCUCCUGAUCCGGCUGUUCUCUGCAGGACUCUGCGCCGUUCGAUCCCAGACCAUACACAGGGCCCCCCCAAAAUUGUUCAGCAGGUUCUUCCCUCCCGGUAGUUCCUUGGAGCGAGGCCAGGAUGAGGGAAGGCCUCUCCGCUGGACAGUAUGAGUCCACAGAGUCCGACUCCGAGUACUGGAAGGCGUUGUACUAGUCCAGGUCCCCCGCCGGGGGUUCCAUACACCUCCCCUGCUUCCGUACCUGGAUCUGCACCUGGAGUCAGGAGGGUGCCCAGGACCAUGGGAGACCUCGCUACACGUGCUGUGGGAGGGCAUUGACUUCCCUUCUUUCCCUUCUUCUUUUUGCCUU